rnacentral:rRNA from 1 species
UACGGAGGGUGCAAGCGUUGUCCGGAUUUAUUGGGUUUAAAGGGUGCGUAGGCGGCCCGAUAAGUCAGUGGUGAAAGCCUCCAGCUCAACUGGAGAACUGCCAUUGAUACUGUCGGGCUUGAGUACAGACGAGGUAGGCGGAAUUGAUUGUGUAGCGGUGAAAUGCGUAGAUAUCGUAAGGAAGACCAGUGGCGAAGGCGGGUCUCUGGACAGUUCCUGACGCUGAGGCACGAAGGUCAGGGGAGCAAACGGG